UUUGUUGUUUUUCACGUUGUCGUGUUGUUUCACAUCAAGUUUAAAGUCAGAGUUUCAUGAAAUUUCAUGUGAGUUCAGUUUCGGUCGACCUGUUCUCAAACAUCCAGACUGUGAACGUCUGUUACCACCUGGUGCUUUAACACCUGCCAUUUCUUUUUAAUUGCACCACCAUGAGGAGUGGUCAUGUGACCCGGAGCUCGUUUCAUCAUUUCAACUUGUUAGUUUAGUUUAUUUCACGUGAUAUUUAAAUGUGUGUUUUUUUUGUCUCUAAUUUCUCAUCUCACCUCAUGUGAUCUGAUUCUAUCUCUCCUUAUUUCAUGUCAUGCCAUCUACUGCAUCCAGUCACAUUUUAUUUCAUCUCUCAUGUUAUUUUAUCUCACUUUUCUUAUCUCAAGUACAUUUAUAUUUCCUUGUGUCUCCUCUUGUCACCUCAUCUCGUCUCGUUUCAUCUCGUCUCAUCUCGUCUAGAUUGUUUUUAUCUCGUUUCAUCUCAAUCAUCUCGUCUCAUCUUGAUUGUCUCAUCUUGUCUCAUCUAAUCUUGAUCAUCCCCUCUCAUCUCGUCAUGAUUUAUUCAUCUCGAUCAUCUCGUCUCCAUCGUUUCAUCUCAUCUCGAUCUCUCGAUCUCAUCAUCAUUCUGUCUCACGUAAUCUAAUUUUAUCACAUUUUUCUCAACUCAUCUUCUCAAACUUCAUCUCUCUCAACUUGUUUCAUCUCUUCUCCUCUGAUCUCAUUUUCUCUCAUCUCUUCAUCGUCUUCUCACACCUUCUCAUUUUCUAUUGCAUUUUAAAACAUCUAUCUAUCUUUCUAUCUAUCUAUCUCAGUAGGUAAGUUGGGCCAAUCAGAUUGCUCAGGUGAGGUGACAUCACCUCUCCGAUCAGCAGUGUGACCUCAGUCUGUAUCAUCAUGAAUCCCUAACGAGGGCUCUCGAAGCGACCAAUCAGCAGAGGCCUGGAUUAUCAGUAAAUGACGAGGCGGAGAGAUAGAGUACCAGAGAAGAGGGAGGACGGACCGACAUGAACACCGGAGGAAAGAGAGGAAUCAAAGCGGCUGAUGAUCUCAGUGUUUCAUGUAUGAUUCACUGCCAGUAGCUGUGACUCACUGUUGUAACAGCAAGUUAAAGUGAUGGAGUCAAGUUCAUGCCAGCUGUUGUUUACCUCUCCCUCUCUGUUGAUACUACAAACUGCAACUGGAGCUGCUGCCUCACUUCUCCCUGAUUAUUCACUUUCUGCUGCAGUUUGUCUUUCUGUGUUUUUAAUCAGGGGUCGAGGUCGAACAGCUUUUCACUUCCUGCUGUGGGUUUGUUUUAUCUGGUAACAGCAGCGAUCGGACCUGUAGAUGUUAUAAGGCAGCUGUAGCAUAACAUCCUAAUGUAAACUGAAGCUGCGUCAUGUUUUCACUGACUUUAAAAAGACAGGAAACCGAUUGCCUUGAAGAAGUCAAGUAAAUAUAACUAUUAGUUUUAAGUUCUGUUGACUUUACAUGACAUGUGUCUCCAACAUAAGCACACGUACAUAAACAUACAUCUUAGACACAGAUGUCAAUAUAUGAAAUUAUUCCAAUUUCUAAAAGGUUUCAUAUAUAAAGUUGUUUUUAUUCUAUAUCUGCAUCUCUCCUUGACUCUACCUCCCUCAUUCAAAAUGGCCGCCACUUUCUCCAACUGUUUAGGGGAGUUUUUGUUUGCUGAAUCUGCUAGUGUGUUUUGUCAGAGUUGAUGAUAGUGUUGUUUGUGGUAGCAGAGGCAAGAUAAAGGAGAUAGUGGUGCGACAUAAAUCCCUUUGAUAUAUGGACAUACAUGUUAUAUAUCAUGUUCCUGUAAGGGAAGCAACAACAGAGAGAAUCUGCAGUAUUUGUACUAAUAAACAUAAUAAACAUGAGUUUACU